GGUGGCUUAGUGGUUAGCAUGUUUGCCUCACACCUAUAGGGUUGGGGGUUUGAAUCCCACAUCCACCC